GAUGAACGCUGGCGGCGUGCCUAAUACAUGCCAGUCGAGCGAACAGACGAGGAGCUUGCUCCUCUGACGUUAGCGGCGGACGGGUGAGUAACACGUGGAUAACCUACCUAUAAGACUGGGAUAACUUCGGGAAACCGGAGCUAAUACCGGAUAAUAUAUUGAACCGCAUGGUUCAAUAGUGAAAGACGGUUUUGCUGUCACUUAUAGAUGGAUCCGCGCCGCAUUAGCUAGUUAGUAAGGUAACGGCUUACCAAGGCAACGAUGCGUAGCCGACCUGAGAGGGUGAUCGGCCACACUGGAACUGAGACACGGUCCAGACUCCUACGGGAGGCAGCAGUAGGGAAUCUUCCGCAAUGGGCGAAAGCUUGACGGAGCAACGCCGCGUGAGUGAUGAAGGUCUUCGGAUCGUAAAACUCUGUUAUUAGGGAAGAACAAAUGUGUAAGUAACUAUGCACGUCUUGACGGUACCUAAUCAGAAAGCCACGGCUAACUACGUG
rnacentral:rRNA from 1 species